AAAUUGAAGAGUUUGAUCAUGGCUCAGAUUGAACGCUGGCGGCAGGCCUAACACAUGCAAGUCGAACGGUAGCACAGAGAGCUUGCUCUCGGGUGACGAGUGGCGGACGGGUGAGUAAUGUCUGGGAAACUGCCCGAUGGAGGGGGAUAACUACUGGAAACGGUAGCUAAUACCGCAUAACGUCGCAAGACCAAAGUGGGGGACCUUCGGGCCUCACACCAUCGGAUGUGCCCAGAUGGGAUUAGCUAGUAGGUGGGGUAACGGCUCACCUAGGCGACGAUCCCUAGCUGGUCUGAGAGGAUGACCAGCCACACUGGAACUGAGACACGGUCCAGACUCCUACGGGAGGCAGCAGUGGGGAAUAUUGCACAAUGGGCGCAAGCCUGAUGCAGCCAUGCCGCGUGUAUGAAGAAGGCCUUCGGGUUGUAAAGUACUUUCAGCGAGGAGGAAGGCGUUGUGGUUAAUAACCACAGCGAUUGACGUUACUCGCAGAAGAAGCACCGGCUAACUCCGUGCCAGCAGCCGCGGUAAUACGGAGGGUGCAAGCGUUAAUCGGAAUUACUGGGCGUAAAGCGCACGCAGGCGGUUUGUUAAGUCAGAUGUGAAAUCCCCGGGCUCAACCUGGGAACUGCAUUUGAAACUGGCAAGCUUGAGUCUCGUAGAGGGGGGUAGAAUUCCAGGUGUAGCGGUGAAAUGCGUAGAGAUCUGGAGGAAUACCGGUGGCGAAGGCGGCCCCCUGGACAAAGACUGACGCUCAGGUGCGAAAGCGUGGGGAGCAAACAGGAUUAGAUACCCUGGUAGUCCACGCCGUAAACGAUGUCUACUUGGAGGUUGUGCCCUUGAGGCGUGGCUUCCGGAGCUAACGCGUUAAGUAGACCGCCUGGGGAGUACGGCCGCAAGGUUAAAACUCAAAUGAAUUGACGGGGGCCCGCACAAGCGGUGGAGCAUGUGGUUUAAUUCGAUGCAACGCGAAGAACCUUACCUGGUCUUGACAUCCACGGAAGUUUUCAGAGAUGAGAAUGUGCCUUCGGGAACCGUGAGACAGGUGCUGCAUGGCUGUCGUCAGCUCGUGUUGUGAAAUGUUGGGUUAAGUCCCGCAACGAGCGCAACCCUUAUCCUUUGUUGCCAGCGGUUAGG
rnacentral:rRNA from 2 species